rnacentral:sRNA from 1 species
UACGCGAUGCCGAAAUCGGGUCGCGGAGACAAACACUUGCUGAUUUAUCAGGAGAUUCAACAUGACU